rnacentral:rRNA from 1 species
UCGGGUUGUAAAGCACUUUUGUCCGGGAAGAAAACUUCGGGGCUAAUACCUCUGGAGGAUGACGGUACCGGAAGAAUAAGCACCGGCUAACUACGUGCCAGCAGCGCGGUAAUCGUAGGGUGCGAGCGUUAAUCGGAAUUACUGGGCGUAAAGCGUGCGCAGGCGGUCUGUUAAGACAGAUGUGAAAUCCCCGGGCUUAACCUGGGAACUGCAUUUGUGACUGGCAGGCUAGAGUAUGGCAGAGGGGGGUAGAAUUCCACGUGUAGCAGUGAAAUGCGUAGAGAUGUGGAGGAAUACCGAUGGCGAAGGCAGCCCCCUGGGCCAAUACUGACGCUCAUGCACGAAAGCGUGGGGAGCAAACAGGAUUAGAUACCCUGGUAGUCCACGCCCUAAACGAUGUCAACUAGUUGUUGGGGAUUCAUUUCCUUAGUAACGUAGCUAACGCGUGAAGUUGACCGCCUGGGGAGUACGGUCGCAAGAUUAAAACUCAAAGGAAUUGACGGGGACCCGCACAAGCGGUGGAUGAAUGUGGAUUAAUUCGAUGCAACGCGAAAAACCUUACCUACCCUUGACAUGGUCGGAACCCUGGUG